UUGCUAUGUAAAAACGGCAGGAUGAGAACCUGCAGCAGGUUCGGGCCGAGCGAAGCGAGACAACGUUGCCGGCGGCAACGGCCCGAAGGGCGAGGCGAAGCCGAGUUAUCCUGCACGACCCACCA
rnacentral:sRNA from 1 species